UACGAAGGGGGCUAGCGUUGCUCGGAAUCACUGGGCGUAAAGCGCACGUAGGCGGCUUUUUACGUCAGGGGUGAAAUCCUGGAGCUCAACUCCAGAACUGCCUUUGAUACUGAGAAGCUUGAGUCCGGGAGAGGUGAGUGGAACUGCGAGUGUAGAGGUGAAAUUCGUAGAUAUCGAGAGGAACACCGGUGGCGAAGGCGGCGAUCUGGACGAUGACUGACGCUGAGACGCGAAAGCGUGGGGAGCAAACAGG
rnacentral:rRNA from 1 species